GGGCGGAGUCGAGAACCCAAGAGCGACGUGCGCGGGGACGAGAAGGAGAAUCGAGGUUCCGCGCGGGCGGAGACGAGAAGCAGCGCUCGGGCACGCGGGGACGGCGGCCGGCGCGGGCGGGCGCGGCCUUUGUCUCCACCUCCAGCGCGCUCCGCGGCUGCACCGGCCCGAUGAGCCCGCGGCCCCCCGGCGCUCGGGCCGCCCGCAGCCCCUGACCUGACCUGCCCUCGCCAUGGCCGAAGCCACCUCCAACGCCGGGGGCACGUCCCUGGAGGGCGAGCGUGGCAAGAGGCCCCCGCCUGAGGGCGAGCCUGCAGCCCCGGCGUCCGGAGUUCUGGACAAGCUUUUUGGGAAGCGGCUCCUGCAGGCUGGUCGCUACCUGGUGUCCCACAAGGCGUGGAUGAAGACGGUGCCCACGGAGAACUGCGAUGUGCUGAUGACCUUUCCAGACACGACUGAUGACCACACGCUGCUAUGGCUGCUGAACCACAUCCGCGUGGGCAUCCCCGAGCUGAUCGUACAAGUCCGCCACCACCGCCACACGCGUGCCUAUGCCUUCUUCGUCACCGCCACGUAUGAGAGCCUGCUUCGAGGAGCCGACGAGCUGGGUCUGCGCAAAGCAGUGAAGGCCGAGUUUGGCGGGGGCACCCGCGGCUUCUCCUGCGAGGAGGACUUCAUCUACGAGAAUGUGGAGAGUGAGCUGCGCUUCUUCACCUCCCAGGAACGCCAGAGCAUCAUCCGCUUCUGGCUGCAGAACCUGCGAGCCAAGCAGGGCGAGGCACUCCACAACGUGCGCUUCCUGGAGGACCAGCCAAUCAUCCCUGAGCUGGCAGCCCGCGGGAUCAUCCAGCAGGUGUUCCCGGUCCAUGAGCAGCGCAUCCUGAACCGCCUCAUGAAGUCGUGGGUGCAAGCUGUGUGUGAAAACCAGCCUCUAGAUGACAUCUGUGACUACUUCGGAGUAAAGAUUGCCAUGUACUUUGCCUGGCUGGGUUUCUACACAUCAGCGAUGGUAUACCCAGCCGUCUUUGGCUCUGUCCUGUACACGUUUACGGAGGCUGAUCAGACAAGCCGGGAUGUAUCGUGUGUGGUUUUUGCCCUCUUCAACGUGGUCUGGUCAACCCUGUUCUUGGAGGAGUGGAAACGGAGGGGGGCGGAGCUGGCCUACAAAUGGGGGACGCUGGACUCACCUGGGGAAGCAGUGGAGGAGCCACGGCCCCAGUUCAGGGGUAUCCGGCGCAUCAGCCCUGUGACGCGGGCUGAGGAGUUCUACUACCCACCCUGGAAGCGGCUGCUUUUCCAGCUGCUCGUGAGUCUCCCCUUGUGCCUCACCUGCCUGGCCUGUGUGUUCCUGCUCAUGCUCGGCUGCUUCCAGCUGCAGGAGCUGGUGCUGAGCGUGAAAGGGCUGCCUCGUCUUGCCCGCUUCCUGCCCAAGGUCGUGCUGGCCCUGCUGGUCAGCGUGAGCGCAGAGGGCUACAAGAAGCUCGCCAUCUGGCUCAACGACAUGGAGAAUUACCGGCUGGAGAGCGCCUAUGAGAAGCACCUCAUCAUCAAAGUCGUCCUGUUCCAGUUUGUCAACUCAUACCUGAGCCUCUUCUACAUUGGCUUCUACCUCAAGGACAUGGAGCGCUUGAAAGAGCUCCUGCUCGUCCUGUCCCUGUCCCAGAGCCUCGAGCGGCAGCUUCGGGCGGUGCUGGUCCCGCUCGCGGCCCUGCGGUUCCGCCUGCUCCUCCUCUCCCUCCGGGGCCUCCUGCUCGUGGCCCGGGCCAAAAUGCUGGCCACUCUGCUGAUCACCCGCCAGUUCCUCCAGAACGUGCGUGAGGUCCUGCAGCCGCACCUGUACCGGCGGCUGGGCCGUGGCGAGCUUGGCCUGCAGGCUGCCUGGGAGCUGGCCCGUGCCCUGCUUGGCCUGCUGAGCCUCCAGCGCCCUGCACCCCGCCGCCUUGAACCCCAGGCCGAAGAGGGUGGCGGAGGCGGCAGCGGGGGCCGCAGGUGUCUCAGUGGGGGCUGUGGGGCACCUGAGGAGGAGGAGGAGGCCACCGUGGAGCGGCGGCCUGCAGGGGAAGGUGGGGAGAUGGGGGAUGGGCCCCGGGGAGGCAAGGAGGAAGAAGAGGAGGAGGAGGAGGAUGAGGAGGAGGAGGAGGAGGAGGAAGAUGAGGAGGAGGAGGGUGAGGAGAGCGGCCUCCUGGACUGUGGGCUCCGGCUGAAGAAGGUCAGCUUUGCUGAACGAGGGGCUGGGCGGCGGCGACCUGGCCCAGAGGCCCUCCUGGAGGAGGGGAGCCCCACUAUGGUGGAGAAGGGGCUGGAGCCGGGAGUAUUCACACUGGCUGAAGAAGACGAUGAGGCCGAAGGGGCUCCCGGCAGUCCCGAGCGGGAGCCUCCGGCCGUCCUGCUCCGCCGGGCUGGGGGCGAGGGCCGUGACCAGGGGCCAGACGGGGGCCCAGACCCGGAGCCAGGUUCUGGCGACUCAGCCCGGAGGCAGCGGCGACAGAAUCGGUCAUCCUGGAUUGACCCACCCGAGGAGGAGCACUCACCCCAGCUUACCCAGGCUGAGCUUGAGAGCUGUAUGCAGAAGUACGAGGACACGUUCCAGGACUACCAGGAGAUGUUCGUGCAGUUCGGCUACGUGGUACUCUUCUCGUCUGCCUUCCCCCUGGCCGCUCUGUGCGCCCUGGUCAACAACCUCAUUGAGAUCCGAAGCGACGCCCUCAAGCUGUGCACGGGGCUGCAGCGGCCCUUCGGGCAACGGGUUGAGAGCAUCGGCCAGUGGCAGAAGGUGAUGGAGGCCAUGGGUGUCCUGGCAAUCGUGGUCAACUGCUACCUGAUCGGCCAGUGCGGGCAGCUGCAGCGCCUCUUUCCCUGGCUCAGCCCCGAAGCGGCCAUCGUGUCUGUGGUGGUGCUCGAGCACUUCGCUCUGCUCCUCAAGUACCUCAUCCACGUGGCCAUCCCCGACAUCCCAGGCUGGGUGGCCGAGGAGAUGGCCAAGCUUGAGUACCAGCGCCGGGAGGCCUUCAAGAGACACGAACGCCAGGCCCAGCACCGCUAUCAGCAGCAGCAGCGGCGGCGGCGGGAGGAGGAGGAGCGCCAGCGCCACGCGGAGCACCAUGCCCGGCGAGAGCGCGAUGCCAGCGGCCGGGAGGAGGCUCGGGCCGAAGGCUCAGGGCUGGACCCUGCUGCCCCUGAGAAGGCCUCUGCCAAGGCCAAGGGCAGUGGGGCAGGCGGCCACGGGCAAGAGCGGCCCAAGCGCCCGGGGUCCUUGCUGGCACCCAACAACGUCAUGAAGCUGAAACAGAUCAUCCCGCUGCAGGGCAAGUUCCUGUCGUCUGGGGCCGCAUCCUCACUGGCCAGCGCGGGGGCUGGCCCUGCCGCCCGGCCACCCCCUGCCCAGUCACCCACGGGUAGCGACACCCGCCUGCCAGCCUUCCUCAGCUUCAAGUUCCUCAAGUCGCCUGAGACACGGCGGGACCCAGAGCGUAGCCACUCACCGCCCAAGGCUUUCCACGCUGGCAAGCUCUUUCCUUUCGGUGGGGCCCGGGCUGACGCCGGGUCCAACGGGGCAGGUGGGCAGGCCCGGCUGGAUGGGACCCCCAGCGGCGGAGGAGGCCGAGCCCAGCGGAGUGGGCCGGUGGACGAGGCUGCGGCUGAGGAGCCGGACGCCCCCCGGCCUGAAGAGGAAGGCUCAGGUCACAAGCUUUAACUCGGGGGUGGGGACUCUGGGCUGGGCUUUGCGGGAAGGGGUGGGGUGGCCAGGCCUGGGGAGAGGGGCUGAAGGGGACAGAGGAGGCCCGGUCUCUGUACCGGUUGGGAACCUGGGUACGUGGUACGUGGAGCCUCUCAGUCAAAGCCUGCUCAGUAUCUCCGGGACCCUUGACAGCCAAAGCCCCCUGUCCCGGCGGCCCUCCCAGGGCACCUUGCCCUCCAUGCUCUGGUGCCAGGAGAGAUGCAGGAGGCUUCUUCCCCACCUGGCCCAGCCUCUCCUGCCCCUAUGAGACCCCACACCCAGCUCAUUCUGGGGGGACUGGACCCCCCCCAGGCCUCUAUGCAAGUCCCUAACCUGCAGCCCUGCUGUUCAGGGAGGCCUUCCUUGGAGGUGGGGGCCAGGGCUGCCUACCCAGGGAGCUCGGCGUGCUCGGCCACAGGCUGCACCCGGAUUCGCGCUGAGCAGAGGUGCAAGCCUCGUGCCCACCCGCCCCCUCCCCACCACCCCCCCAGCCCACCUUGCUAGCCCCAACCCCAGCCCAACCCAGCUCCAGGCUCCAGCAGCUCAUCCCCCAGGGAGCCCAAGAGGUGGCAGCUGCAACACCAGGGACGCAGGUCAGAAAUCAGAGGGACUUCCUCAGACUGUCCCCUCCCCCCCGUGACGGGGAGGGGCCCAGUGCCCAGAGGCAGGGGAUGCACCGGAAGACGCCCACCCCUUGUCACUGAUCAGAAGCAAUAAGGCCCUCGAGGGACAGCGCUGGCCCCCGUGGGCGCCCCUGCCCUCCGCACCCGCCGCAGCCGGAGCCCCGCGCCGCCGCCGCCGCCGC